UGGCAGGUAACUCAGUUGGUCAGAGUGUCGCCCUGUUAAGCCGAAAAUCGCGGGUUCGAAUCCCGCCCUGUCAGCCA
rnacentral:tRNA from 1 species